rfam:Ciona savignyi cont_34099, whole genome shotgun sequence.
GUCGUCGUGGCGGAGUGGUUAAGGCGACAGACUAGAAAUCUGUUGGGCUCUGCCCGCACAGAUUCGAAUCCUGUCGGCGACG